GUUUCUUUCUCGAGGGGAUCUUCUUGACCCAGGGAUCAAACCCAAGUCUCCUACAUUGCAGGCAGAUUCUUCACCGUCUGAGCCACCAGGGAAGCCCUGGAGCAUUAGAAGGCGAGGAUAAUCAGCACCUUCAGGCAUGGACAGGAGACCCCAGCCAGUCCAAUCAGAGGGCAAUGAGACUUGCUUCUCCCCUGAAUAUGCCUGAGUAAUUCUGUAACCCUGGGGGUUUGUUACAAAUGCAAAUUCUUAGGUCCUACCCCAGACCUACUGAGUCAGUCUCUGAGUCAGAGCCCAGGAAACAAGCCCUCCAGGUAAUUCUGAUGAACUCUCCAGUUUGAGAAGCUGGAUAGUUUCUCUACUUCAUUCAAUUUACAGAUGGUUAAAAAAACAAAACAAAUAGGCACAAAGAAGCAAGGUGAUUUGCCCAAAUUUCUGCAGCCAAGCCAGGUCUCAAAGUAAGCUGUGCUUCCACCCACAUCAUUUAAGAGGCAUCUCCAUGUUUCCAUCAAACUGUAAAACAGCAACAGAAAUCUCUUCUCACCUUUGAAGGUCCUCCCCUCCCCAGUCUCCAGGGAUGAAAAUAACUUUCACUUGCUCUGAGGUUAUAUAAAGUGAAGCCUCACUAUUGCUCACAUGUUUGCGUGCCCUAUCUCAGACUUGACGUCGGCUGGCCUCAAGAGACCUUGGAGUCGGUGAGGACCACGUACUGCCUGAGGAGGCAGGUCCAGCUUUGGCCCCAGCCCUAGGGCAUGCUGGGAGAAAGAGCGAGACUGAGGCUGGAGAGGGGAAGACAGCACCCAAGGUGGUACCGUUGGUGACUCAGGUUCCUCCUCUGCUCUGGCUAUGCCCCUCGCAUUCCGUCUCCCUGCCACCCUGAUCAAGUACUGACUGUGGGCACUCGGUGGAUGCACUGGGACUCAUGAACCUGCUUCUGCCCCCAAGGGAGUUUAUUGCCCACAGCGGGUUUUAGGAUGCAGAUGCCAAGGAUAAUUCUCUUCAUUCAAGACUCACACACUUUAUUUUCUGAAAAGAGGCAACGUGAUAGGAUGGCCAGAGCCCAAGUUCUUAUACAAUAGACCUGGGUUUGAAUCCUGCCAUGUUGCUGUUUGGCUCUGUCUUUUUAGGCAGGCUGUUUUAUUUCUCAAAGCUUUAGUGCCCACAUCACUUCUGCUUGGUUGGGUUGUGGGGGCUCCAGGAGCUGGAGGAGUGCCUGGCACAGGCUGGCAAGUCUCCCACGUUUGGUGCUGACAGGCUGUGAUCAAGGUUGCUCAUGAGAACUUCUAGUGUAGCUGCAGCUCAUCCCCUCCUCCUGGGCUCGAGAGACAUCUGUAAUCGUUGCUCAGAAUCCUGCUCUAACCAUGUGACAGCAGCUGACAUGUACGCUUUGCCCCAUGGAACCACUGUCCACCCUCCCCACUUCUCUCUGCCCCAGAAAUUGGCACAAAUGGACACAGAUGCCAACCACUGGCCUCCACUGGGUGUGGGACCAGAGGAAAGGAAGAGAGAGUUUGGGGUGUUUAUUCCUUCUGUAUCUUCCAUAUCUUCUAGCUACCUCCCUGUGAGGUCAGCUCAGGCUGGCAUUGCCAUUGGACCCUGGGGCCCUGCUUCUCUCAAGGUAGCCUCUCCACACAGGGCUGCCCUGGUGUAGGAUAACUGCAUCUGAAGCUGUUAAGGGCUGUGCUGUUGCUAAGUUGCAGCGCUGUCUCUGGGGGUCUUCUCACUCCACCCACAACCCUUCUGAUAUGAUCCUAUCUUCAGUGCACUGUCCAGUUCUUGCCAAGUCCCGAGGAUGUCUCUGUCCUCAGCACUCUCUCCUUUCCUCUCUCACCUCCUGUGUUCUCUCUUGCCAGUCUUGCUUCCUUGGACAGAGCCUUCUUUUCUCAUAGCAGACUGGCUUGGCCCCUUCUCUGUGCCUUAUCUUUCCAGUUAUGUUACGAGCAUCUUCUUUAAAGGCAGAACCUCUCAGGUCUCUCUUGGGCUCUGCCCAGAGUGACUGGAGGACUCUCCUCUCACCUGAAGCUUGUAUAAAAGUACAGAUGCCUGGGUUCUGCCCAGA